GAUGAACGCUGGCGGCGUGCCUAAUACAUGCAAGUCGAGCGAGCGGCGGACGGGUGAGUAAUGUAUGGGGAUCUGCCUGAUGGCGGGGGAUAACUACUGGAAACGGUAGCUAAUACCGCAUACCAUCAGAUGAACCCAUAUGGGAUUAGCUAGUAGGUGAGGUAACGGCUUACCUAGGCGACGAUCCCUAGCUGGUCUGAGAGGAUGAUCAGCCACACUGGGACUGAGACACGGCCCAGACUCCUACGGGAGGCAGCAGUGGGGAAUAUUGCACAAUGGGCGCAAGCCUGAUGCAGCCAUGCCGCGUGUAUGAAGAAGGCCUUCGGGUUGUAAAGUACUUUCAGUCGGGAGGCGUUACCGACAGAAGAAGCACCGGCUAACUCCGUGCCAGCAGCCGCGGUAAUUC
rnacentral:rRNA from 1 species